rnacentral:rRNA from 1 species
UACGGAGGGUGCGAGCGUUGUCCGGAAUCAUUGGGCGUAAAGCGCGUGUAGGCGGCUCGAUAAGUCUGCUGUGAAAGUCCAGGGCUCAACCCUGGGAUGCCGGUGGAUACUGUCGAGCUCGAGUCCGGAAGAGGCGAGUGGAAUUCCUGGUGUAGCGGUGAAAUGCGCAGAUAUCAGGAGGAACACCAAUGGCGAAGGCAGCUCGCUGGGACGUGACUGACGCUGAGACGCGAAAGCGUGGGGAGCAAACAGG